UACGUAGGUGGCAAGCGUUGUCCGGAGUUAUUGGGCGUAAAGCGCGCGCAGGCGGUGCGGUAAGUCUCUGGUGAAAGCGCUCGGCUUAACUGGGCGAGGGCCGGGGAGACUGCCACGCUGGAGGGGAGCAGAGGCGAGUGGAAUUCCGGGUGUAGUGGUGAAAUGCGUAGAGAUCCGGAGGAACACCAGUGGCGAAGGCGGCUCGCUGGGCUCUACCUGACGCUGAGAGACGAAAGCUAGGGGAGCGAAUGGG
rnacentral:rRNA from 1 species